CCUUCUCCGACCCACCGUAAUAUCCCCAGGAUACGGGCUCAGGAAGAGGAGGGCUAGUUUGGUUUAGAAAUAUCACAAAGAAAAGAACACAUAUAUUACCACAACCCAGAG